rnacentral:rRNA from 1 species
AGUGAACGCUGGCGGUAGGCCUAACACAUGCAAGUCGAACGGCAGCACAGUAAGAGCUUGCUCUUACGGGUGGCGAGUGGCGGACGGGUGAGGAAUACAUCGUAAUCUACUCUUUCGUGGGGGAUCACGUAGGGAAACUUACGCUAAUACCGCAUACGACCUACGGGUGAAAGCAGGGGAUCUUCGGACCUUGCGCGAAUGAAUGAGCCGAUGUCGGAUUAGCUAGUUGGCGGGGUAAAGGCCCACCAAGGCGCCGAUCCGUAGCUCGUCUGAGAGGAUGAUCAGCCACACUGGAACUGAGACACGGUCCAGACUCCUACGGGAGGCAGCAGUGGGGAAUAUUGGACAAUGGGCGCAAGCCUGAUCCAGCCAUACCGCGUGUGUGAAGAAGGCCUUCGGGGUGUAAAGCCCUUUUGUUGGGAAAGAAAAGCAGCAGGUUAAUACCCCGCUGUUCUGACGGUACCCAAAGAAUAAGCACCGGCUAACUUCGUG